UGUGUGUCAGGAGUUGGGAGAUUACUUUUUGGAAGCGGCACCAGACUGACUGUGGAGACUCAGGAGGACUUUGAGCCAUCCUUCUACAAACUUGAGACUAGCAACCUGACAGCGUGUCUCGCCACCGGCUUCAGCAGACGCAAUGCCACGGAGAAGGCGGAAAAAGGUCACAUGUUCGAGGAGUCUUUCCCCGUGCGAAUAUCGGACGACUCGUUAUACAACCAGGUGGCACUGCUAACAGUCGCACAUGACGACAUGUGCGAGGAAGGUGACAGUGGACCAGGGCAGUACCAGGACACGUUGGUGCCAGACGAGAAGGUGAACCUCCUGUCCCUCGCCGUCCUCGCCCUACGCCUCAUCUUCGCCAAGACGCUCGCCAUCAACUGUGUCAUGACACUGGGCCUGUGGUUUGGUGCACCGGAGUAGCCAGCGCGGCGCCACCGCCUUCCUCUUCCUCCUGCGCUCAUGUUCGAACGUGUCGCUUUUUACAUGUCAGUUAGCUAUAAAAUGCAUCAUUAUAUCAACAAAAAUUCAAUAAAAAAUUUUUUUAUUAAGGGC